AAUAGGUUUGUAGAGGCAUAAAGUGCCAUUAGCCUAUUGAAUGUAAGUAUCUGGGCUAUUAAGUUUAUACUGAAAUAUUUUCUAUGUAUGUAAUAUUUCAACAAACACAUAUUGUAUUAAUUAAUGGUCAAAUACUAAAUUGAGAUUUUAUAAAAACAUUUUAUAAGCUGUAAAGCUUGUCAAUUUGUUUAAUUUAUUACAACUACAAUUUUUCAGCCCUUUUCCAGAAUUUGAACUAAUUUGAUCAUAAAGAUUGAUCUAUUUAUAAUUUAUCGAUUACAAUUUUUAGACAAUUAAAGCUGGUUAAAGGAACUUUUAUUUUGGAAAAAGAACUGCUGCUGUUUCAAGACAUGCGCACUAGCUGCGACAUCUAGUGACGACAUUUACCGGGCUUUAACGGUUGUAGCUGCAUGAAGUCUGCUGCAAUUUCUCUGAGAUUUCUCAAGAUCAUCAGUUUGGACAGAAUUCAUUUGAAGAAUUAAUAGCACUAGCAGGUUCCAAUAAAGGCUGGAACAGAACAGACAGAAAAG